UUAAAUAUAUUAAUUCAAAUGUAAGAGUAAGUCAUUUUAACGAUGAAAUUAACUGAGUUAAUAGACCUACGUGUAAAAAAUUUUAAAACAUUAUGGAUUUAGUUGUCAAAUUUUGAACUUCUUCACUUUUUUAAAUUUUGUAACAAACAUCACAGCCUAUAGUUUUAAUAAGCCAACAGAAAUAUGUUAGCCAUUGAAUUAUUUUUGGUUAGAUCUUAUUGAUGGAUUAGGUAAUGGCGAAAAAUGGGGUUUGUUAUCAUAUGGUAACAUAGCUGGACCUCAUUAUUAUAUAUUUUUUGAAAUGAAAAUUGUAAAAAAAAAAUACAGUAAUAAUAAUUAAUAAACACAAUAAUUCUUUGAAAUAAAAGCAUCUAUACAAUGUCCCCAAAAGCAGGUGCGAUAUGAAGUUUCAAAUUAUGAAUGCUGUUUGGUAUUAGAUUUGCUCAUCUACCACUUUUCAUUAACAUUAAAUAAGGGCAAUAUUAUUCAAAAUGUCCCUGUUGCUUUACCUCAUUUGCCGUCCCUAGAAGCUGAAAAUAAUAAUCGUAAGAUCUUGAAUAAUUCAUAUAACAAAAAACUGGUUUGCCAUUAUUAAUAAACGUAGAGGUUCUUCUAUGGAGAUUAUUUUAC
rnacentral:lncRNA from 1 species